rnacentral:lncRNA from 1 species
GACUCAGUGGCCUUUGAGGAUGUGGCUUUGAUCUUUUGCCUGGGAGGAGUGGGCUUUGCUGGGUCCAUCAUAGAAGAGUCUCUACAGAGAUGUGCUACGGGAAACCAUCAGGAACCUAGACUGUAUAGGAAUGAAAUGGGAAGACCAAAACAUUAAAGAUUAGUACAAAAUUCCCAGAAGAAAUCUAAGAUAUCAUAUGGUAGACUGAUUCUGUAAAAGUAAAGGAGGUAGAUAAUUUGGAGAAACUUUCAGCCACAUUCCAGGUGGUAUUGUGAACAACUGUGGAGAAGUCAGCAUGGGUCGUUCAUCUUAAUUGCUACCAUAGAGCUCAUGCUCAACACAAGCCACAUGAGUAUCAGGAAUAUGGAGAGAAGCCACAUACACAUAAACAAUGUGAGAAAGCCUCCAGUUAUUGCCACUUCCUUUGAAUACAUUAAAGGCCUUACCCUGGAAAGAAACUUAGUGACUGUAAGGAAUGUGAGAAAGUACUUAAUCGUCUCAGAAGCUUUCAAACACACAUGAGAAUGCACAGUGGAGAUAGGCCUCAUAAAUGUAAGAUAUGUGGGAAAGGCUUCAAUUCUCACAGACCAUUUCAAAGACAUGAAAGAACUUACACUGGAGAGAAACCUUAUAAAUGCAAACAAUGUGGGAAAGCCUUCAGUGGUUUCUGUUACACUCAAAUACUUGAAAAGGCUCAAACUGGAAAACAACCCUAUGAAGGUAAGCAAUGUGUAAAAGCAUUUUAUCAUCUCAGAGGCUUUCAAAUAUACACAAGAACAUACACUGGAAGUAGAAAUCAUAAAUGUAAGAUAUGUGGGAAAAGCUUUCAUUAUCUCAGUUUAGUUCAAAGACAUGAAAGAACUCACACUGAAGAGAAACCCUAUAAAUGUAAGCAAUGUGGGAAAGCCUUCUUUCAUGCACAAGCUUUCAAAGACACAUGAAAACGCACACCGGAGAUGGAUCUCAGACAUGCAAGGUAUGUGAGAAAGCCCUUGAUUCUUCCAGUUUUCUACAAAGACAUAAAAGGACACACACUGGGGAGAAACACUGUAAAUGUAAAUGUGGGAAAGCCUUUAGCGAUGUCUGUUCUUUUUGAAAUCAUUACAGGACUCACACUGGAAAGAAACUCCAUGAACGUAAGGAGUGUAAGAAAGCAUUUUGUUUUUGUCCUUUUCCCUCCUAAGGCAUGAAAGAACUCACUGGAAACAAAACCAUGAUUGUACGCAAUUUGGUAAAGCCUUCAGUUUUUCCAGUUCCCUUUGUAUACAUGAAAAAAUUCACACUGGAGAGAAGCUGUAUGAAUGUAAGGGAUGUGAAAAAGCAUUCAGUUCUCCCACUUACUUUAAUGGACAUAAAAGGACUCACUAAAGAGAAACCCUCUAA